GACGAACGCUGGCGGCGUGCUUAACACAUGCAAGUCGAACGGAAAGGCCCUGCUCUUGUGGGGUGCACGAGUGGCGAACGGGUGAGUAACACGUGAGUAACCUGCCCUUGACUUUGGGAUAACUUCAGGAAAAUGGGGCUCAUACCGGAUAGGAGCUCCUGCUGCAUGGUGGGGGUUGGAAAGUUUCGGCGGUUGGGGAUGGACUCGCGGCUUAUCAGCUUGUUUGUGGGGUAGUGGCUUACCAAGGGUUUGACGGGUAGCCGGCCUGAGAGGGUGACCGGCGACAUUGGGACUGAGAUACGGACCAGACUCCUACGUUACGCAGCAGUGGGGAAUAUUGCGGAAUGAGCGGAAGCCAGAUGCAGCAACGCCGCGUGCGGGAUGACGUCCUUCGGGUUGUAAACCACUUUCGCACGUGACGAAGCGUGAUUGACGGUAAUGGGUAAAGAAGCACCGGCUAACUACGUG
rnacentral:rRNA from 1 species